rnacentral:rRNA from 1 species
GAUGAACGCUAGCGGCAGGCUUAAUACAUGCAAGUCGAGGGGCAUCAAGGUACACGAAAGUGUAUUGUUGGCGACCGGCGGACGGGUGAGUAAUAGGUAGGUAACCUACCUCAUACUGAGGCAUAGCUGGGAGAAAUUCCAGGUAAUUCCUCAUGAGGUUAUAUGACACAUGUGAUAUAAUCAAAGGUAUCGCAAGGUACUGGUAUGAGAUGGGCUUACUGACCAUUAGCUAGUUGGUGAGAUAAGAGCUCACCAAGGCGAAGAUGGUUAGGGGUUUUGAGAGAGAGAUCCCCCACAUUGGAACUGAGAUACGGUCCAGACUCCUACGGGAGCAGCAGUAGGGAAUAUUGGGCAAUGGGCGGAAGCCUGACCCAGCCAUGCCGCGUGAAGGAAGACGGCCUUAUGGGUUGUAAACUUCUUUACUAUGCGACUAACUAGAUUUACGAGAUAAUUCUAUAGAAUGUAGCAUAGCAAAAAGCACCGGA